GGACGAUAAUGACGGUACUUUAGGAGGAAGCUCCGGCUAACUACGUGCCAGCAGCCGCGGUAAUACGUAGGGAGCGAGCGUUGUCCGGAAUUACUGGGUGUAAAGGGAGCGUAGGCGGGAGUGCAAGUCAGAUGUGAAAUACAUGGGCUCAACCCAUGGGCUGCAUUUGAAACUGCAUUUCUUGAGUGAAGUAGAGGUAAGCGGAAUUCCUGGUGUAGCGGUGAAAUGCGUAGAUAUCAGGAGGAACACCGGUGGCGAAGGCGGCUUACUGGGCUUUUACUGACGCUGAGGCUCGAAAGCGUGGGUAGCAAACAGGAUUAGAUACCCUGGUAGUCCACGCUGUAAACGAUGAUUACUAGGUGUGGGGGGACUGACCCCUUCCGUGCCGCAGUUAACACAAUAAGUAAUCCACCUGGGGAGUACGGCCGCAAGGUUGAAACUCAAAGGAAUUGACGGGGGCCCGCACAAGCAGUGGAGUAUGUGGUUUAAUUCGAAGCAACGCGAAGAACCUUACCAGGUCUUGACAUCGUAUGCAUAACAUAGAGAUAUGUGAAACCUCUUCGGAGGCAUAUAGACAGGUGGUGCAUGGUUGUCGUCAGCUCGUGUCGUGAGAUGUUGGGUUAAGUCCCGCAACGAGCGCAACCCUUACCUUUAGUUGCUACGCAAGAGCACUCUAAAGGGACUGCCGUUGACAAAACGGAGGAAGGUGGGGAUGAUGUCAAAUCAUCAUGCCCCUUAUGACCUGGCUACACACGUACUACAAUGGCAAUCAACAAGAGAAGCAGACAGUGAUGUGGAGCGAAUCUCAAAAAAUUGUCCCAGUUCGGAUUGC
rnacentral:rRNA from 1 species